rnacentral:rRNA from 1 species
GUGGGGAAUCUUGCGCAAUGGGCGAAAGCCUGACGCAGCCAUGCCGCGUGAAUGAUGAAGGUCUUAGGAUUGUAAAAUUCUUUCACCGGGGACGAUAAUGACGGUACCCGGAGAAGAAGCUCCGGCUAACUUCGUGCCAGCAGCCGCGGUAAUACGAAGGGGGCUAGCGUUGCUCGGAAUUACUGGGCGUAAAGGGCGCGUAGGCGGACAGCGUAGUCAGAGGUGAAAGCCCAGGGCUCAACCUUGGAAUUGCCUUUGAUACUGGCUGUCUUGAGUUUGGGAGAGGUGAGUGGAACUCCGAGUGUAGAGGUGAAAUUCGUAGAUAUUCGGAAGAACACCAGUGGCGAAGGCGACUCACUGGCCCAAUACUGACGCUGAGGCGCGAAAGCGUGGGGAGCAAACAGGAUUAGAAACCCCUGUAGUCC